AUUGAAAGAGACUUAUUUAGUAAUAUAGCAGUCAAAAAUAAAAAGUUGAAAUUCAGUAGUUCCCGAAUUCAGGAAUAUCUCCUUUGUUUGUUCAAGUCUGAAGAAUGCAAACCGGACUUGUGUGUCAUCCAAGAAGUUAUCUUUUUCUACGUGCUAUUUUCUUGCCUGUUCCAGAAGCAAAUGACGUCAAUGAGUUCUUUGAAUGGGCGGCUUUGGCUUCAAGCUCUUGAGAGUGAAGGAUGUUUUUGUUGCACUCGAAAGGCCAUGGAGGUUAAAGAGAACUCAGAAACCAUUUGUGAAGACAGUAAAAGAGUAUUUACUAAUCCUUACUUAUUUCGAAUAGACAGAAGAGGAGCUUCAGCUUAAAAGGAGUGGAUUGACAGGUAGAGAUACCACAUGGAGAAGACCUAAGACUACACAGAGAAGGUGAGGAGCCCAGCUGAGAUCAGCUUUCCAGACAUCCUCUUCCAAGUGCCAGAUGUGGUGCCUGAAGCUGCAGCAGCCAUCUUGCAACGUGAAAAGUCAAUACACCGAGGAUGACAGAGAGAAAGGAAGGAAGAUUUGCAUCAUUGGAGACUUUGUUGAGUUUCUAAAUCAGUCAUGAGACUUCUUGCUAAGGACAUAAUAAACAUCCUUAUUUAAGCCACUGUUGGACAGGUUUUCUGAUACUUGUGGGGGAAUGAAAUUCUAACUGAUGUAGUUAUUAUUUUAUUUCAUUAAAUAUGUGAUGCAAUUGAUUGUAGGUUAUAUCAUUAUUUAAUAUACCACUGAGCAAGAAAAUAAGCUGAG
rnacentral:lncRNA from 1 species